CGAUCAAAUUAUCAUUGUGAGGCAGAAUUCACGAAGGGUUUGACUGUUCACCCACUAGUAGGAACGUGAGCUGGGUUUAGACUGUCGUGAGACAGGUU
rfam:Oryzias latipes DNA, chromosome22, strain: Hd-rR.